rnacentral:rRNA from 1 species
AGGGUUUGAUCAUGGCUCAGGAUGAACGCUGGCGGCGUGCUUAACACAUGCAAGUCGAACGAUGAUGGGAGCUUGCUCCUGGAUUAGUGGCGAACGGGUGAGUAACACGUGAGUAACCUGCCCUUAACUCUGGGAUAAGCCUGGGAAACUGGGUCUAAUACCGGAUAUGACUCCUCAUCGCAUGGUGGGGGGUGGAAAGCUUUAUUGUGGUUUUGGAUGGACUCGCGGCCUAUCAGCUUGUUGGUGAGGUAAUGGCUUACCAAGGCGACGACGGGUAGCCGGCCUGAGAGGGUGACCGGCCACACUGGGACUGAGACACGGCCCAGACUCCUACGGGAGGCAGCAGUGGGGAAUAUUGCACAAUGGGCGCAAGCCUGAUGCAGCGACGCCGCGUGAGGGAUGACGGCCUUCGGGUUGUAAACCUCUUUCAGUAGGGAAGAAGCGAAAGUGACGGUACCUGCAGAAGAAGCGCCGGCUAACUACGUGCCAGCAGCCGCGGUAAUACGUAGGGCGCAAGCGUUAUCCGGAAUUAUUGGGCGUAAAGAGCUCGUAGGCGGUUUGUCGCGUCUGCCGUGAAAGUCCGGGGCUCAACUCCGGAUCUGCGGUGGGUACGGGCAGACUAGAGUGAUGUAGGGGAGACUGGAAUUCCUGGUGUAGCGGUGAAAUGCGCAGAUAUCAGGAGGAACACCGAUGGCGAAGGCAGGUCUCUGGGCAUUAACUGACGCUGAGGAGCGAAAGCAUGGGGAGCGAACAGGAUUAGAUACCCUGGUAGUCCAUGCCGUAAACGUUGGGCACUAGGUGUGGGGGACAUUCCACGUUUUCCGCGCCGUAGCUAACGCAUUAAGUGCCCCGCCUGGGGAGUACGGCCGCAAGGCUAAAACUCAAAGGAAUUUGACGGGGGCCCGCACAAGCGGCG